CCCCCCCCCCCGAAAAAAAAAAGAGAGAGAGAGAGAGAGAGGACACCAGCGGCUCUCCUCACUAUGAAUGAACACCACGCUGCCAGGUCUGGACUUCCCCGUGUAUCUCCACCCCGAGCAGCUACAUCUGUUCCCAGAUGGAGGUGGAAGGGUGAGGUUCUGGCAGCAAACCAGACUUCUGAAAGAUUCUGAGCAAGACGGCCCAGGAAAGCUAGAAGCGAAGUGGGGAAAGAGCAGGCUUCUCUCUGCGUGCUGUCGCUUAGAGGCCUGCUGUCCUCUUCACAACUCCUGGUCCUGCCCUAAGUCCUACCUGCUACAUUGCUGGGAUCAAAAGAUGGAACUAGAUGUCCUCUGGGUCAUUUCUUAGCGGCACUUCCUCUAUGACCAAGGAAGUUCAAGCCUAAGGUCCGACCUUGAAAAGCUCUUUUCUUCCUCCGGUGGGACAAUAAAGAGGGGCAGAGGCAGAGUGCUCUUGCUGCCUAAAGUUAACCUUUCAAUUCAGCACGAAGUGCUGAGGAAGACAGGCUCAAAUCAGGAUUACUUCUUGUGGGGGGUUACAGGCAACCUCCAUGGCGAAACGACUCCCUAGACACGAGCCUCUUCUCCUCCACCACCGAGAAGGGCGUACAGUCUUAAGGCCAGCCUUGCUUUCUCCUAAGGGGCUCCAGAACUUAAGAUUUUGAUCUAAAUUGGCUGGAACCUUCCAUCUGGAAAAGCUGUUUUACUACGCUGUUGGUACGUUCACCGGUGAGUUCACCGACUCAUAAUAAGCGAAUCCUACUUAUUCCAGGCCAGAAUCUGCGUCCUCUGACUCAGCGAUGAACAGAAUCCUCACAUCUGGCCUGGAUGGAGUGUGUGGCAGGCCGGGCAACAGAUGAAAAUGGUGAUGACCCUGACAAAACGACAA